CUUCUUCCUGGGCAGCCACUGCAUACGUGAGCCUGAGGGUAGCUGUGUUCCAGCUUUGCACAGAAAGCAGGUUUGGGAAAAUGAAGCCAGAGGCCAAGGAGAGAAUGCGGAAUCCUGAAGUGUUGAAGGCCCUUGUUUUGAUUCCUCGCGUCCUCCAGUCCAUCCUCAUUUUCUGGAGAGGCAGCGUGGCCUAAUGACGAAAGCCUCCACAACUGGUUUCUGUGGGUGUGAGUCCCAAAUCUGCCACUGGCUGGCUGGGAAACCUUGGUCUGGAGGGAAGCCCAAGCAUCACUGAGCAAAGUCAGUAUCCUCCUAUACCUUGCUACUUAUUCUAAGUGUGUUUCAUGGACCAGCAAAAUGGACCUCAUCUAGGAGCUUGUUGGAAAUGCAGAAUCUCAGCCCGACUUACGGAAUCAGAAUCUACAUGUCAACAAGAUCCCCAGGGGCUGUGUGUGCACAUCAAAGUGUGAGAGUUUUCUGCCCUAGUGCCACUGCUUUAAGAACUACAGCUUGGUCAUCUCUAGAA
rnacentral:lncRNA from 1 species